GAAAUGCGAUAAGUAAUGUGAAUUGCAGAAUUCAGUGAAUCAUCGAAUCUUUGAACGCACCUUGCGCCCUCUGGUAUUCCGGAGGGCAUGCCUGUUUGAGUGUCAUGUAGACUCAAUCCCUCGGGUUUCCGAGGAGAUUGGACUUGGGUGUUGCCGCUCUGCCGGCUCGCCUUAAAAGACUUAGCGGGAUAGCACCGUAGUCGGCGUAAUAAGUUUCGUCGGUGAAGGUUGUGAUGACUGCUUACAAUCGCCCUCGGGCAAUUUUUGACUCUGACCUCAAAUCAGGUAGGACUACCCGCUGAACUUAA
rnacentral:misc_RNA from 2 species